rnacentral:lncRNA from 1 species
CAUAUUUUCAUAUCACAUUACGGUUGUUGCAGAUAUCUCAAAAUAUCAUUACAUUCAUCACCGCUUGGAAAUUACGGCAGUCAUUAGACCCGCCACCAGAUUGCACAUAAUUGCAUUCUCCCUGUUGACAGACAGCCUGCAACACGACUGGCCGGCACUGGGAGGCGAGGCGCCCGCCCCUGGAAGGGGAACUCACACGUGCUCCGUGAUCCGUGGGACAGCCAGGCAGCUCUGUCGGUUAAUAGGCAUUAACCCCUAGCUCCACGCCGGGAUGUCUGCAGCUGGUCCAAGCAAAGCUCCAGGGAGCUGCCUUGUACAGACCUUGGUGGAUGCCCCAAACCAACAAGGAAUUCAGUGUGACAAAAAGAGAGUGCUGGGCCUUCAAACAACUAAAUGCUCCCAUCUGAAAUCCUGGGGAUCAAAUGCAGGGUCUUCCCAUUGAGCUUCUCCCGAGGGUCUCACUAAAUUGCUAAACUGCCCAGCUGAUGUUACACACCUGUGAUCCUAACACCUAGGAGACUGAGGCAGGAGGAUCUCUGCAAGUUCAAGGCCAG